GUCUACAGCCAUACCAUGCUGAAUGUUCCCAAUCUCAUCUAGUUUGGAAGCUAAGCAGGGUUGGGCCCGGUUAGUACUUGGAUUGGAAAAUGCAUUGACUGAGCAAGACGUGCCCUUUGAGGCU
ensembl:rRNA 5S_rRNA 5S ribosomal RNA